UGGGGAAUUUUGGACAAUGGGCGAAAGCCUGAUCCAGCAAUGCCGCGUGUGUGAAGAAGGCCUUCGGGUUGUAAAGCACUUUUGUCCGGAAAGAAAUCCUUGGCUCUAAUACAGUCGGGGGAUGACGGUACCGGAAGAAUAAGCACCGGCUAACUACGUGCCAGCAGCCGCGGUAAUACGUAGGGUGCAAGCGUUAAUCGGAAUUACUGGGCGUAAAGCGUGCGCAGGCGGUUUGCUAAGACCGAUGUGAAAUCCCCGGGCUCAACCUGGGAACUGCAUUGGUGACUGGCAGGCUAGAGUAUGGCAGAGGGGGGUAGAAUUCCACGUGUAGCAGUGAAAUGCGUAGAGAUGUGGAGGAAUACCGAUGGCGAAGGCAGCCCCCUGGGCCAAAUACUGACGCUCAUGCACGAAAGCGUGGGGAGCAAACAGGAUUAGAUACCCUGGUAGUCCACGCCCUAAACGAUGUCAACUAGUUGUUGGGGAUUCAUUUCCUUAGUAACGUAGCUAACGCGUGAAGUUGACCGCCUGGGGAGUACGGUCGCAAGAUUAAAACUUAAAGGAAUUGACGGGGUCAUA
rnacentral:rRNA from 1 species